CAAAAACAUCGCCUCCCGCCCCCAAUGGGAGGUCCAGCCUGCCCAGUGAUAAACAUUAAACGGCCGCGGUACCCUAACCGUGCGAAGGUAGCGCAAUCACUUGUUCCCUAAAUAGGGACUAGUAUGAACGGCAUCACGAGGGUUAUGCUGUCUCCCCCCUUUAAUCAGUGAAACUGAUUUACCCGUGAAGAAGCGGGUAUGAACCUAUAAGACGAGAAGACCCCAUGGAGCUUUAAACCUAACAAGCACCUAUUUUAACACACCACACUAAUUAAAUAGCCAUGAAUGUUGGUUUUCGGUUGGGGCGACCGCGGAGUAAAACCAAACCUCCGCGACGAAAGGAAACACCCCUAAUUUAAGAGCCACAGCUCAACUAAUCAACAAAUUGACGUUUAUUGACCCAAUUCUUUGAUCAACGAACCAAGUUACCCUGGGGAUAACAGCGCAAUCCACUUCAAGAGCUCCUAUCGACAGGUGGGUUUACGACCUCGAUGUUGGAUCAGGGUAUCCUAGUGGUGCAGCCGCUACUAAAGGUUCGUUUGUUCAACGAUUAAAACCCUA
rnacentral:rRNA from 1 species